AUGGAAAUUAUUAAGUGUGGAAGGAGUAAAAAAAAAAAACAUAAUAUCUUCUCUCUCUCAGAUGCACGCACGCGAAACAACCUAACUUCGGAUUCACUCGAUCUAUCGCUCCCUCUCUCAAUCACGAUCUCACUAUACCUCUCACUCGAUCAGUUUCGUUCUCUCUCACCCUAGAUUCACGAUCGAACUCGACAUCUCUCUCUCACACUCGUUCUCUCUCGAACCCUAGCCUCCAAUCCGUUUCACUGAAUCACAAAUUCCAAUUCCUAAUUGAAGAAUCAAGGCUUACUGAACCCAAAUCGAAGCUUAGUGGAACGAAUCAAAGCUCUCUCAGCUCGUUACAGAGUCAUAAUUCCACCGCCUCUUCUCUCGAUCUAAAACUGGUGAGUUUUAACGAUUAAGGGUUUUUAGGUUUUAGCAUAUGUUUAUCUUUCAUUUUAACCUUUGAUCUUUGAUUUUGAUGACUAAGGGUUUAAUCCUGGGUAAUUUUCUGUAAUCUCUUCUACUUUUGCUUUUAGUGUUGUGAAAUUCAUUGUUUUUUGCUUCUCACCGCCUCUGGUUCCCUUUACAUAGAUGUUCAAUAUUUGUGUAUCUUGUAGCCACUAACCAUUACAUAGAUGUUUGGGUGGGGAACCAAUCUCUGGCGGUACGCUUCCCUCGGUUGUUUUCUAUUUCGAUUCAGCAACAAUGUAAAGUAAGUGAUAUGGGGAUGAUGGAUGGUGACGGCUGGAAGUGGAAUCUGUUAUGGAGGAGGGAUUUCUUCUCGGAGGAACCUUUUUAUCAGUAGUUGUUAGCAGUAAUUGAUGGUUUUCAGCCUACAGCACAAGAUGAUGGUUGGAGUUGGAGGCCUGAUCCUGCGUCGGGGUUUACGGCGAAGUCUGCGUAUCAGAAUCUUAUCUUGCUGCAUCGCUCUGAAACUGAGAUGGAUCAUCUUCGGAACUUUGUCUUCAGUAAUAUAUGGAAAAGCGACGCGCCGUCAAAAGUUGUAGCUUUUUCGUGGCAAUUGAUGCUUAAUAGAAUUCCAACAAAGGCGAAUUUGACGUUGAGAGGGAUUGGUAAUGAUAUGGUCUGCUCCUUCUAUAAUGUGACUGCUGAAAAUACACUUCAUAUGUUCCUUCACUGUGGAACUUCGGCGAAAAUCUGGUAUGAGCUUGUGCAAUGGAUUGGCCAGGAGUUGCUGCUUCCACCGAGUUUUAGCCUCUCCUUCUCUAUGAUGGUAGGGUGUGGGACUGGUAAGAAAGGUAAAAAGGGGCUUAUGUUAAUUUGGCACGCGUAUAUUUGGACAAUUUGGCGUACUAGGAAUGACCGGAUCUUCAAUAAUGUGGGAAUUGACGCUGAAGAUGCGGUGGAGACUAUUAAACGUCUGUCAUGGAUGUGGUUUAUUGGGCGAAUGGCAAGAAGACCUUGUCUCUUUUAUGAAUGGUGUUGGAACCCGGGAGAUUGCUUUCACUGCUGAUGGUGUGUGCGGGUUGCUUAGGGCUGAGGAUCUACUAUUUUGCUGGUGUUAAUGUUAUUGCUGCUGCCUUCUAUGUUUGUCUGCGUUUUUGUUUUCAAAUUAAAGGCUUCCUUUUGUGGCUUUUUGUGUUGUAGUGAUCCUGUACCUAGGCUCUCCUUUAUUCUUGUACUCUUAACUCUAUAAAGUACUACUUGUGCUUUAUGGGUUCUUUAUAUAUAAAUUUUGGCUUUUAAAAAAAAUCAAUUAAUUAUUUGAAUCCAUUUAUAUUUAUUUACUAUUGAUUAUACUUAAUCUGUUAACACAAGAUAUAUUGAAAGAAAGUGAUCAGUUCAGGCACACUUUUUUCUCACUAUUAAGCUAUAUAUGCUUCUCUGUAUGACUAUCUUGUGUUUCAAAGGGACUUGUUGAUAUGCGGAUCUCUGAAUGUAACUUAUAUUGUUCAAUUGUCAUUUUCUGACUCAAGCAGUGCUACUCUUGAAGUUUGUAGAUCAUGGACAAUGGCUGAAUUAUUUACUACGUUAACAACUAUCACAUGGAUUAUUAGGCCAACAUAGUCAUCAAACUAAAAUGUUCCUAGAAAUCAAAGAAAAGUUUAAAGAAGCUGAUAAAAAUGAUCUUGAAGGCAUAUUAAAUAUGAAGAUUCAAGAUUUGGAUACUGUAGAGGAACUUAGAAUCAAAAGAGCGGACAAACAUGGAAUUGUUAAUUAUGAAGAUUUAGAGAUUGCUAUUGCAUCCGAAAACGUUGUUCAAGUCUGUGGCAUGAAGAUUUAGAGAUUGCUAUUGCAUCCGAAAACGUUGUUCAAGUCUGUGGCUUUGUCAACAUCACCUUGGUAAUCAUAGUUUUGAUAGUUGAUUUACACUUGAUGUAUGUGUUAACUGUACUCUAGGCUAUGUUAAUUACUUAAGUUGGUUAGGAUGUAUUCUAUCUAGCUAAAACCAUUUUAAUUACUUAAGUUUUAGUCAUGUUUUAGUCAUUUUAAUUACUUAGCAUGAUAUCUCUCUUUUAUUCACCAGGUUCUUUAGGAAGUGUAUUGUGAUUUUGUUAGUUUUAUGUGUGUAAUUACUUAUUGAUUAAUCAAAAGCAUGAUAUCUCUCUUUUAUUC